GUCAUCUUAUAUUUGUUGUUUUUUCUGACUUGUGAUUUGAGAUCGACUGAAGGCACCCACAGUGACUCUGUGUCACACCCUGUCCUGUCUCCCCAUUUGGUUCAGCCUGCGUCUCUGUUAAUUGCUCCCACCUGCCUCUCGUUUUCCAAUCACCCAAGCUCCCAGCCCUCUCGUAUUUAAACCCCUUCAGUUCUGUGUCUCUUUGUGGAUCAUUGUUUCAUUGUCCAGCGUGUGUUCACUAUUAAAGACUCCAAACUCAUUCUGGUUUGUCUGCCUGCCUGCUUCCCUCACCCGCGUGUGGAUCCUUGUAUUUGCCUCACUCACCGGCACGCGCUGACACUCUGAGACCAUUUGAGAACAAGACAGCCAGCGGGGAGAGGUCUGCAGACGUAAACCAAAACAUCAGCUGCGCCGCUUGUUCUUCACCAACCCCGUCGUCCUCCCGCCCCCACGCACUCACACAAAAGCACAUCACCGUUUUUGGGGAGUAACAUUCCACAUAUAAAGUAUGCAACUGAAAAGCCUCUGGGCCCCCCCUAAGAAAUGAAGACGACUGUUACCGUGGCAACCUAAAACAACAGCAGCGCACAACAUCGGCGAUGGACAGUGUUCUCCAGCAUGCGAGCGCACAGAUAUUCAGACUGUAACAGGAUCUGAACGUCUGACGGUAAACAUGUGGCUCAGGAUGAGUACCUUCUGAGUACGUCAACAUGUAAUCACUAAUUUGAUGUUCAUUCAACAGAAACAUAAACGGAAAGAAUAAAAUACAGCAUCGCCAGUUUUUGUUUCAACACAACAUUUAACAAAUACCUAAGUGUUAAUAAAAAAAAUAAAGCCCAGAGGAAACAUGUGAAAGAUAACGGGACUCGGAGCUGCGUUGGAGUAUGUUAGCGGCGUGGAGCUCCGGUCCAGCUCUCACAAAACACUUGAUCAGCCUAAUUAAAAGAACCUUGGCAUGAUGCGUUGUGCACAGUGGUAAGUCAGGCCAUGUGCCAGGUCUCCACUCACCUCCUCUCUCCCACACACACUCAAACGCUGCCAUCAACCGCAACACCACCAAGCACAGAAAAGAGGAAAAGCUCAUU